rnacentral:rRNA from 1 species
GCCCGCUCAGAAACUUAAAGGAAUUGACGGGGCCCGCACAAGCGGUGGAGUAUGUGGUUUAAUUCGAUGCAACGCGAAGAACCUUACCUGGUCUUGACAUCCCGGAGACCCUUAGGAAACUAGGGGGUGCUUCCAUCUGGAAGAAUCUGGAGACAGGUGCUGCAUGGCUGUCGUCAGCUCGUGUCGUGAGAUGUUGGGUUAAGUCCCGCAACGAGCGCAACCCUUGCCUUUAGUUGCCAGCAGUUCGGCUGGGCACUCUAAAGGGACUGCCGGUGUUAAACCGGAGGAAGGUGGGGAUGACGUCAAGUCCUCAUGGCCUUUAUGACCAGGGCUACACACGUACUACAAUGGCCGAUACAAAGGGUUGCCAAGCCGCGAGGUGGAGCUAAUCCCAUAAAACCGAUCGUAGUCCGGAUCGCAGUCUGCAACUCGACUGCGUGAAGUCGGAAUCGCUAGUAAUCGUGAAUCAGAAUGUCACGGUGAAUACGUUCCCGGGCCUU